UGAUGGCUACCUUUUGAAGACCCUGACGGCGAUUAAGGGAUGCACUAUGAUUACAUUUCCAAGCCUCCACUACUCACAUAUCCCACUAGAAAGUUAAUGGGAGAGAGAUGUGUUUUAACUGCUAUGAACCACUUUGGAGAAAUUUAAGUGUAAGUGCAUUAAGACAUGAUUUAUUUUCACCACUGAGCCUUGAAAUUUCUUCCAGGGGGAUCCCAGCAUGCUUGUAUGUCUUGGCUCCACGGGCUAUGGGGACGCUGAGAGAUUGAGCUAUCAUGGGCAGUUCUGAUUUGUGGGGUUCCUCGAGGCAGGCAGCUUCCUGAUGGGUGUGAUUUUUGUUUUUGGUUUGUUUUGUUCAUUGCAAAAUUCUUUGGCAUGACGCCUUUCACCUUGUCUCCAAGUGAAUGUUUUUCCUCUGCGUCCCACUCAGUGACUCAGGUCAAAGGCAUCUUAUUUAGCACAGUAUGUUUCUUGCUUUUUGCUUUUGCCAGAUGUGCGUGAGCUCUAGGAAGAAAACUGGAGUGGAGGCAAGUGUAAUGAGUGGCUUUGGUGCUCUGCUGGAAGGGGAAAGGAGACAAGGCUUCGAUGUAAUGCUGCAGAGCUGGGCUGGAGAGCAGAGACCUAUCCGUAACCCGUAGCUCACCAGGGUCUGCAGGGCUGAGACUGAGAAGUGCUGCAUCAAAGGAGCUGAGCACUGAAGUCACGGCUGAGAAGGAAAUGAGGGUCUAAAGUCCCAAACUGGAAACUUCCCAGGGCUCCCUACCUACCUCCCACCCGACGCUGUGAGUACCUCUUCUCAUUCUGGUUGAUCCUGGAGCCCUUAAGGUAGCUGGAGGUUCUACCUCUGCCUUGGUCUUAGCAGCCUGGAGUUUAUCUAAUGACAGGGGCUGAUCAGGACAAAGAAAUCAAAUGUGUGCACGUCUCUGCUCAGCUGGUCAGCCUCCCCAAUGUAAGCUUAUGGGAUGAAACCUCCUUGGAAAAUCCAGCUGUGGUUCUGUCCCUUGGCCACGGAGCUGCAGGACACGAUGUCCUGACUCUCCUCCUGCUAAGGCUUGUGUUGAAACACUUGCCCAAGAGAAUAAGCAGCCUGGCCCGCUUCCCUUUUGUUACACAGCCUGAAAGAUCCCCGCCACAACUCCACCUCUGAAACAAGGCCACUGUGCAAAAAGGCAAGACUGAUGGGCAAGGAAAGCAAUGAGUGGCACAAGGGUCAGCUGCAGUGCUCGCUGCUUGUACCUGGGGACUUUGUCUCUCCCUGUGCACGGCAGGGGUGCUGGCCACUGGGUCAGGAUUUCCCUUGGGAGAGCCCAGCACCAUCCACGUCUCCCUGCAGGGACUCACUGGGCUCAAGCCACAUCAGAUUUCCAGCUUGGACUCUCCACAGCCAAAGCGAACCAAACCCUUCAAUACUUUUGACCACCCUCGGAUACUGUGAUGAUGAGCCCAGAAAUGCUUGGAUUAUUAUUAUUAUUAGCUGCUAAUAACCAUGGAGGUACGCCAGCAUUGGGAACAGCUCGUGCUGUCAUCAGAACAUGGGGGAAAUGGCUGGCUGAGCAGUCAUACGCCUUCAUGUAGAUGUUUCUCUGCUGAUGUGCUCAAAAUGGUGGAUGCUCUCACGUGGCUCCUACUUAUUUCUGAUCCAGCACUUGAAGUCCUGGCCCACGUGCAAGUCAAGCUGGCUUUAUCCAAUUUACUCUUUCCUAUAUGUCAGGCAACGCCUUAGUCUGAAGUGAGAAGGAAUUUGCCUCUGGUAUGCUGAGAAUAUGGAUUUCUGACGAUUCCUUGCUAAAAUGUUUCUGACUGAGGCUCUGGCCUCUUGCUUCCUGGGGUACAUGCCUCACUUUGCACUGACUUGCAGAGAAAAAUAUGUGAUGGCAGUUUGAAGGAUUUGCAUUGUGCUUUCCAUCCUGCUACCAAGCCAGAUGCUUUUCCCCUAGGCAGAUCUCUCUCUCUCUCAAUCUCUCUCUUUUUUUUUUUUUUUUUUUUUUUUUUUGCCUCCCCAAGUUAAGACUUUUAAAUGAAUUCCUACUGGUAGUUUCCUCCCUUCUUUUGUGUUGUGCAAGGAGCUGGCACUGGGCUCAGGACUUGUAAUCCACAGAUGGUCUGAUGGCUCUAUGAAGUAACAGGGAGAAGGAAAGGCAGGGGGAAUUUCUGUGUAUUUGAGAGGAACAAGGAUCUGCCCGAGCAGUGUACGAUGUUGAAGCACAUCUGCUUUUGUCUACAGCGAAAAAUCUGGCAUCUGUUCUUAUUGAGACCCCAAGGCUCCCUCACUGCAGAGGUAAGAGAUGAGGGCUGCUGAAGGCUGGCCACUACAGCUGACUGCUCCCUGUGGACUACAGAAGGUGGCUCGGCACCUGCCUCACUCUAAUGGUUAAAGCUAAGUGGGUGAGUGCUCUAAGUGGUGUUUCUGAGGUCAGGCAACAAGUCUGCACUCACACCUGCUGUUAGAGAUCGCUUGUUCCAGCUGAGAAUAGCUUCAGCCAGUUCGACCUCUCCAAAGCAGAGUUAAUGUGCUCCUUGUCCUCAUCAUCAGUGCUUCCACCACCAGGAAUGGAAGGGGAGGAAAAUGGAGCCGAGAUCGUGUAGCAUGGUCAUAACAGGAAAAAUGACUGAAACCGCAUCCAUUUCUGUCUCGCCUGUGACUUCUCAGCUGUCUGCGAGUAACUGGAGUGCUGCUGGGAAUAGCAGGAAUCUGACUGCCAUCUCUGCUGUUCUCUGUCAAGAUCAGGCAGCUCUGAAAGAAAUUAGAAAUGGAUGUUAUUGUGUUUGUUUCAUCUUGCUGCCAUAAGAGGCUGUUCCUCCCCUAUGUCCCGGCUCCUGGCUGUCAGAGGGCCGGCUGCCAUCUCGCUGCUUGUCUGGUGUCUCGUUGCAGUUCAGCUUUGUAUAGCUGGGAAGAAGAGGAGGGAGGAAGCAGCCCCUUUAGUGACACCUCCAUAAUGACAGGGGCAAUAUAAUCUAAGAGAGGCAAAACAUUAAGAAGUCUAUUACGUGAGAAGUGUAUGACAUGAUUACUGUAGUUCUUGUUACUUAGCCAUAAGGAGCUCUAGACAUUGCAUGCGUUUUGAUUAUAACUGCUACAGAUGUUCAUAACCUGCAAAACUGACCUUUUUGCAACUCUUUGACCUUUAACACAUGCUUAGUGAUGCAAUCUUGGCAGCACCUUGAUUUUCUUAGCAUUUGGAUGCCAUAAAAUUACAGAGCAUCCCAGGCAUCUCAAGAAAGUGUGUAUCUUAAUUUAUUCCAGCCUGGAGAAUAUUCUUAGAUUGCUUUGCUAAUCAGCCCUUCAAAAGAUGUGUAUCCUCCAUGCUCCCCACCAAUUCUAAUCCUUGGCUUGGUUAAGGAUGCUUGUACGUUAUUCAAUUACAUCAGUAUUCUUUAUCUUUUGGUGGAUGGUGAUAAUGACUUUGCAAACCAUUUAAUUCUAAUAUUUCUCACAUGAAAAAAGUCUCUGAAGUCUGGAAAUAGUCUCGUUGGUGUUUUCUUAGUGUUUAAAAAUAAGCCCAAAUGAUUAUCUGUCCUGCAGACAUCAUUGCCUCAUGCUGCUUCUCCCGUGUGUUUCUCCCAUGUGUCCUUCCCUCCACCUGUGUGUUUGUUGUUAAUCUUUGGCUUUCCUUCCACUUUCUAACCUCAGAGUGAAAGCCCUGCAUAAGCUGUGAAUACCAAGCCCUGCUUACAUGCCUCUCAGCUCCUCAUCUCCUUUCCUCCCUACUAUCUCCAACUGUUUUUACAUGACGAGUGGGAAUCUGGGCAGAGACACCCAGACUGCACCCAACAUCUUGGCUCAGGAAAGGUGCAGAAGUUUAAAUGAGGCUCAAAUUUUGCAUUCUUACCCGUUCAGGUUAGAGUUGUUUGGGGAACUAAAAGCAAGAUCUUGAUGGCUUCAUACAUAACCUGUGAAUUUAUUAUAGUUAAAAGUAUCCAGGGUACUGAUCUGAUUAAGUUGUCAGGACACAGCAAAACAGGGAAAGCUCCUCCAUUGAAGAGCUAGAUGAAUGAAUUCCUUCCAUUUAAUAAAAUUUCCUAUUGGCAUUUGUGUGGUGUCAACUGAGUAACCUAUACUGGUACAGGUGGGACCCUCCUGUCACCCUGUGGUACGUAAACCUCCAGAAAUCAGAAACUAAAGUGCCUCCAAGCUGAAUGUCUUGAGAAGUCAGACCUUGGAAACUGGGCUUGUUCCCUUGGGCACUUUCCUUUGCUACCAGAAGUGACUCCGUGUUGCUGGGUCAUAUCCUAAGUUCUUCUCUGCCCCCCUACAUGUGUUACCCUGACAGGUCACCAAACAAACAGGAAUUUAGCCUUUUUUUUAAUCUCAACCUACAGUUGUGAGGGCUUCAGGCAAGGUCACAGACAAAGAACUGAGGAAGGAUUUUGCUGUUGAGGAUCAGGUUGUGGUUGCUAUCUUGACUAAAUUAAACUAAUCACUGUGCAUGACGAGUUUAUGUAAAAUUAAUGCUCUCAGUGCUUUAUUGAGUGUUUUCAUUGUUUCAGACCCUUUUCUGCGUGUUAUCUUAGAAGUGCUUUACAUCCCUGACUUUAUCUACCUUCCUACAAUGGUUGAUGUGGCAUUUGAGUGAUGGGAUCUUUGCACCAGUCUUCUGCUUUGGGAAAUACAUCAGACCAACCCCAUGAACAGACCAGAGGCUGAUGACAUUGCUUUGCCCAGAGGCUGCUGCAGUGGAGGAAGUCUAAUCUCAGGCCUCAGCAGUCUUUAGAUCAAUUCUUCUUCCAAGAAGACCAUGUCAACAUACUGCUAUUUGCUGCAGAGCUAGCAGGAAUCCCAUGGCUUCUCGUUCAGAGGGCUCUCAUGGGUCCAUCUCCUCUCCCCUGCUUCUCUUGGCCUACCAGGUGGGAUCCAACCCAUAACCUGUGUGAUCACAGCAGACACCAAACACUAAUGUAAGGGCAGAAUGAUUCUUUUUUGUUGUUUGUUUAUUUUGAGCAUUGCUUUAAGCACAAUGUUGGCCAAAAUAGAACUGAUGGUAGAAGAGCAAAGAGCUUAUGCCUCUCCAUGUGAAAUGUUACUUCGAUUUCCAGCUACUCCCUGCCCAGGGAAAUAUUUUUUUUUUGCACGUGGUGCAGCCACAGUGUGGCUGUGCAUAGCUCCAUUAUUAUCAAGAUGGAUUUAUUACUGCUGAGAAAUCUUUCUCCUAUCUCAUUUCCUGUCCUCCCCCUCCCAAAGUUCACUCUCCCCACCAAAGUGUGGAAGGAUUCUGCUUGAAAUCCAUCAAAUAGCAAGACAUAAAACCUCAACAUCUAUAAAUUUGGCAGACUGGUUGGCUGUUGCUUGCUUUAACUCCCAGUCUAGGCUUGGCAUGGUGGACAGAAAUGCCUGGUGCAUCUCCAGAAAUGCCUGGAGAUAUUUAGUCUUUUGGGGGCCAGCUAUGGAGAGGCUCCACUCCUUGCAUGCAAACCAGUUGCCAGGGAAAAUGGAAGCCUUCAUGUGAGGUCCAUUGGCCUCAGUCAUAUCACAUCUCUGAGAGGAGGUGGGAAAGGAAAAAUGUUCAGCCAGAAGGAAGGGAAGCAGAGUUGCUGCAAAUCCCUCCUCUGACUUCUUUGCUCAGAUGCCCACGUGAGGUGAUUCAGCUGCUUGCCUGAGGUCUACUAGUAGAGGACAAUACCAGAAAUAGAGGAAUUUUGAAGAAAUAUUAAAGGUUAUGGAAGUAAUGCCUUAAGACACCCCGUAGACAGCAAGAGCCACCUGGUUAUGCUAGGAAAGGGGCUCUCCAUCUCCUACCAUGGCCAUGCCUGAAUGGUGCAAGUAUCUGGCUAUCGCUUCCCUUGAGGACACCUAGAAGGCACACGUUUUUGGGAUCCUGGCAGCCUGCCUUGAAAGCUGGGAGAGGUCCAAAAGACUGCUCUGCCUUCAAGCCAGCUGGGACAUGUCUCACAGGUGAGAUGAAUUUGUUCCUAACCACUAUGGUGGAGAGAAACAAAAGUACUCUAGAAACCCACAACACCGAAAGAACAAUUACAUUUCCAUCCCAAGCACCCUGGCACAGGGUUUGUGGCUGGGGUCAGGCAAACGACAGCUACACAGGGUUAAUGCUCCUGGGAGAGCUCUGGGCUGUCGUCUCAAGAAGGUUUUCUUCGAGUCUGCGCAGUUCUCUGUGCCCUGGUUACGCUCUGUUACGUUUUCAAACCUUCCCAGCUAGCAGCAGUAUUUUUGGAACAGCAUCCGUGAAAUUAUGGUCUUGCUUCACUGCACACACUUGGACGAUAGCUGGUUAUGGUUGCAUCUCAUCCCUAGCUCUUUAAAUCCAGUGCCCUGCAUUUAAGUGCAUUUCAUUUAUUAAAAUUUCAUGAUACAUAACCCUUUCCUUUAAAAAAAAUCUUUUUUUUUUUCUUCUGAAGACCUGCUCUGCGGUUUAGUCUUUUUUUUUUUUUAUAAUUGUAAUUCAGCAUUUCAACUAAUUCUCUUUUUAAAAGUAAUAUGUGCUAGUUAUUUAUGUGUGUACAGACCAGAUUUGUGUGGGCUCGAUGCUGACUGGCUGCAUGUGUGUUUACAAUAGCCCUUGUGUUAUCCCAGACGGCAGCCUAAAAACACUUCCAAAUUAUUCCACAUCAGAAGCAAAGAGGGUUUGGAUAGACUCCUAGGGGAAAGUCUUGAAGUGUUGCCCAAACCUCAGUCCCAGUGCUGUAAGUCAGGCACGUGGCUGAUAUUUUAUCCACCCAACUUGGACUUUUGCAAGCUGUUUCGUAUGUGGAGGGAACAGGAACUUGGGAGCAAUUUUAAUCAGCGAUUUCUUGGAGAUGGGCUUCCCCCUUUCCUUUGUCCUCUUUCCUCUUGACACAUGUGCGUGCACUCCGUCUGUCCAUGUUUUCUCAGAAAUGGUGGAAAGAAUGUGCACGUAAGCACAAUGGUGAGGCUGUUCUGUAACAACCCCCCGCAGCGGGUAGGGACUGACCUGGUUCCAAUUUAUGCCUUUGGAGUGUUGCUGAUUUUAUGCGUAAAACGCUUGAAUGGCUGUAGGUGGAUGUGCGCUAGGGAUUUCAAGUUCAACUCUGCCAUUAAGGCUUGGUGUUUGUUGCUAAUUUCGCUGUGGGCUGGAAAGUUCAAACCUGAAUGGUGCUGUAAUCACAAGCUGGUAAUGCUCCAGAAAGUGUCCCAGGCUUUGUCCUCCUAAGUGUCACAGUGGUGAUGAUCAAAGCUUUUAGACUGCAACUUCUGUGAAGGGGAAGCGAAGUUUCUGAAGAACUGCUGCUCCUCGGGGGCCUCAGCCCUUGGGCAGGGAUCUCCUGGCUGCCCUGGGACUGGGCAGUGCUGGAUUUUCCAGGUCCGAACUUCCAUGCUAAUGCCCUAGGAUGUGGUGUCCGGAUACCAGAUGCUUCCCAGACAAACUGAGCUCUGCAGCCUGGGGAAAUCCCAGGAACGGGAGUUACCAGCUCUGUAGCUGUCUCUCUCUGCAGGUCAGCAGUGGCCAAGAAUGCUGGGGGUGUGUGUGAUCCUACAUCGUUUGGACAAAACCAAAACCAAAGCAAAAAAACACACAUGCAAAACCAAAAACCAGUGUCUUGGUGUCUCAAAACCAAAGUCCUACGGUGAGAUUUCAGUUCUAGAAAUAUCCACGUUCUCUGCAUUUAAACUGAACUAAAGGUGACAUUGUUUUCCAAAACUGUUGUCAUUAUUGUGGCUUGGAAACUCUGUGCCUGAGCCAGCUCUGAUUGUGCUCUCCGAGUUACUCAAGGAAUGGCACACUUUGCUAUUGUAAAGAGUAAAUAUUGCUUUUUAAAAUGUAAUUUGAAUCCUGUACACGCAUUGAUUUAGGAAUGCAAAAUGGUUUUAUUACUAUCUCAUCUCAAAACCUUUUCCUUGACUGUCUGUUACUCUGAGUUGCAAAAUGCAUUACAGAAACACAUCUGUCAUGCUUUAUAACGUGAGAUAAGACAUGCUAUGAUUGUGCUCUCUCUAUCCCUCCUCCCCAGAGCAAUGCAGAAAUCAUAUAUAUAAUGUCAAGCCUGAAGUCAGGUGCAUCGCUCUUUACCCAUCUGAGUAUUGGCUGAAGUAUUGAAGAAGGGCGUGCUUUGGACCAAGAGGAGUCUUUCUUACAGAAACUGCAGAAAUUUGAAAUUAUUGAUAAUGAGAUUUCUGGACAACUUCAUUUGAAAUGCUGAUACUUGACAGACGUGAACAAUAUGGGUAAGGCUGACAACUUGCUUGCAGAUGCUUAGUUAGAAAUUAAUUGUGAUUCUUGGAAGGGACUUAUUUAUCCCUCCUUCUUUCUGGUUCCCUCCACCAACACACUGUAUUGUCAGUGCUGAUGGAAAUCCAACAAACAUUAUAUCAAAGCCUCCUUCUUCUUCCCCGUGACAUUGAUGCUGGUAUAAGUCUGCUCCUGGCCCAUCCCAGCCUGCUGUGUGUGCUGCUGCUGGCCCUUGCUCGGUGGAGAUGCCCAGGCUUCCUUCUGAAAGCGCUGCCACACAAAACCCAAAAAGCGUGCGGGUCCUAUAACUUCCUUGGAGUCAGCCAGCCUUGCAUUUUCUGCAGCAAGCUAAUGCCACGCUGGUUUAAAAGCUGCAAUGCUGGAAGGCAAACAAAGGAGAGGAUUAGACCAAACUAGCUCCAGAGCACACAUCGCACAUACUAAUGUCGUGCUGAAACAGGAGAAGGCUGCAAAAACACUGCCCGUGCUUCACUGCUUUCCGAAACCCUGCCUCCUUUUGCCCAUCAGAUAGGGUGUAUUCCGCAUUGCUAAAGGAACCAAGCUAAUGAGAUUAUAGCUUAUCGCUUUGGAAAAUAAAACUGUACCACUGGAAGGAUACAGCUUGUAUAGGAAUGGUGCUCAGCCAUCUGUGUGAUCACUGGACUCUCCUCCUGAGAUUGUUUAGGGGAAAGCACUCAGCCUUGCCAGUGUUCCCACAUAGACGGGUCUGCAUCUCCAAGCAACAGCCCCGAGCCACUUGACAGCCUGAAUUUCAUCUCAGCCAGGAGACGGCAGAAGAAAAGUCAGCCUUGGUCUCAGAUGAAGCACGUGGGAUUUCUCAGCACAUCUGAGGUUUCCGUGGUUUAUCAGUGCCAUCCCUCCUGCAAACACCACUGUCCUGCUUCAGGUCUGCACUGGGAGCUACGGGAUGGCAGUAGGAUUUGAGGAUAAAAUGGUGGGGAGGGGCUGAAACCAGGUCUCAGCUGGUGCAAAGCCCCGGAGCACCUUCCCUGCCCUGGCUGGGGAUCUGUCUGCAGGUGCCCACAUUGGUUUGACCUGCUGCAAAUGAAACCUGUGUCCCGAGGACUGACUUUUGCCCCUGCAGACACCCGUCCCACACCCCCAGUAAUGAAUGGGAGGCUGCAGAGCGCCUGUCAGGGCAGAACUUGCCCUUCAAUGUCAAUAACUUCUCCGACGGCCUAUUUACGCUUUCAUCUCCCGGCCCUUACUGCUGAUUUAUGCAGCUUGCGGAGCUGAGCGAUGUGGCAGCUGCAGGGAGGAGGAGAUGAGAACCAGAAACCCCGCAGGCUUCCUAGGAGCCGUGUUCCCCAGCAAUAAAUCUCCGACGGAGGAAAGCCCGCUCUGAUCCCCCGUGCGUGCUCCCCUGUGCUGCUCCUGCCACGGGGACGGGACCCAGCACCCAGAUGCCGCUCUCCAAAAAGAGACGUGCCUCUUUGUUCCUCUCCUCCCCGGCUUUCCAGCGGGCUGGAGCCAACAACUGUUGGCUGGAAGACGCCGUCGGCUCACCCGUCUCCUGCCGCAUUCAGCUGUCAGCAGCUCCCACCAAGAGGCAUUCUCCCUCCGUCACGCAUGAGCACGCGCGUGUAGAGCUCCCCAGGCACGGGCUGGAGCGCGUGGGGAUCACAAAGGAGAGGAGACCACAAAGAAAUGCCAUCUCUGCCAAGCCAGAGAUUCGGGGUACAAAUUGCUGCCGCUGGAGAUGUGCUUCGCCCCACGGAGCUCGUGGAGCUGGGCUGCGAAUCUCACCCUGGGGGCUCCGGGAUGUCUCCAGCACCACCGUGGGAUGCAGGAGAUGUUUGCUCCUUAUGUUGUGUGAGCGAGGGUGGUGGAAGCGGUGGGCAGGAUGAGGUUAGGUGAUUGCUGUCCCUAAAAGUGUGCUGCCUGUCACCUGAACCCGCUGUCACCCUCCUGGUGGUCCCUGGUGGAUCACAGGGUGGUGGGAUGGAGCCCAUCUCGCCAUCUCCUCCCAGGACACUUUGGAACAGGGAUGAGGUGCCUCAUACACAUCUAUUUUCAUUAUUUAAAUGAAACGGGAGGGCAGCAAUAAUGUCCUUUAAUGGGGAAACACACCGAUGGAGCACAGCAGAACUAACACCAAACACACCACUUGUUGCUGUGACCGUUCCCUUUCCCAUUCUCCUGAAUUACCUACCGAGCAUUUCCUAAAUUUGCUUGCAUGCUAAAAUAACCGAGUAAUGAACUUUUUUUUUUUUUUUUUUUUCAAGGAAAUGUAUUUUUCUCUAAACUGGAAGGCCUUCUCCCAUUUGUGGUUUUCUUUAUCAGAUUACCAAUUUGCUUUCCCAAAGGGAUUACAAGCUGUAUACCAGGAUCUCUAUGCAGGGGAGCAGAUAAACAAAUGAAACAUGCAAAUUGCUUGAAUUUUCAGUGGGUUAAAAUAAGCUGUAGUGAACAAAAAAAAAAUAAUAAAAUAUAUAUGUAUA